GGCGAACGCUGGCGGCGUGCUUAACACAUGCAAGUCGAGCGAUGAAGCACCUUCGGGUGUGAAUUAGCGGCGAACGGGUGAGGAACACGUGAGAAAUCUGCCUUCAACACUGGGAUAACUCCGGGAAACCGGGGCUAAUACCGGAUAUGAAACCUGCGGGCAUCCGCGGGUUUGGACAGGUUUCCGGUUGAAGAUGAUCUCGCGGCCUAUCAGCUUGUUGGGGAGGUAAUGGCUCACCGAGGCGACGACGGGUAGCCGGCCGUGGGAGGGCGAACGGCCACACUGGGACUGAGACACGGCCCAGACUCCUACGGGAGGCAGCAGUGGGGAAUAUUGGGCAAUGGAGGAAACUCUGACCCAGCGACGCCGCGUGCGGGAUGAAGGCCUUCGGGUUGUAAACCGCUUUCAGCAGGGAAGAAGCGAAAGUGACGGUACCUGCAGAAGAAGCACCGGCUAACUACGUGCCAGCAGCCGCCGUAA
rnacentral:rRNA from 1 species